UGGAGAAUUCCUGAUAAGUUUUAAGCUGGUAUUCUUACAAAUGAGUGCUAUACAUUUCUGUACUGUACAAGAAUAUAUUCUUGGGCAAGGAGAUUAUCAGCAAUGUGUGAAGUCGAAGUCAAAUCCUGCUUUUGUUAUUAAUGAGGAAGAUAAAAGAUUAUCUUAGCUGAAUCUGUUUCUAAAGCUUCUGCUACAGAUAAGAGAGAACACAAGGAUGUAGGAGAAGAUCAAAAGAAGGGUAUAAGCAGAGACCCACUUCUCUCACUGAGCACAAGGUACUGGUCGUGACUGCGGAUACAGAAGUCGCUACAAGCCCUGUGGUGAUACUAUGUCAUCUGCUAGGAAUUAUAUUGCUAUAAGAGAAGAGUAAGACAAAUAAAAAGACUAAUGAUCUUCUUGGCCUGAAAAACCGUAAACCUAGGCAGAGCUUGCUGAAGAUGAUGCCUAAAAUUUCCUUCCAGAAAACAUCUGAAGAUUGGAAUAUCAGAAGAUGCUGGCAACAGACAGAUUAUAUUUCCUUUAAAAAUGUUCCAUCAUGCUGUGAGCUGUAAACUGUUUUAAAGAAAACAAUAUCAAGAGUUGCCAUGAGUUGUAGAAUAAAUAUAUUUAAAUCAUGCAGAUUUCUUUAAAUAUAUUCUUUUUCUUUUUGAAAAUAUAAAGAAGCUCUUUUAUAUAGCAGGAACUUGAAAUGCACAUCAAGACAGAAUGAUUUUUCUUCAAAAAGCACAAUAAUAUUUAAUGACAUGGAGGAGUUGACUUGG